rnacentral:piRNA from 1 species
ACAGGCUUUAGUCAUUAAUGUGAGA